AUUGAACGCUGGCGGCAGGCCUAACACAUGCAAGUCGAACGGUAGCACAGAGAGCUUGCUCUCGGGUGACGAGUGGCGGACGGGUGAGUAAUGUCUGGGAAACUGCCCGAUGGAGGGGGAUAACUACUGGAAACGGUAGCUAAUACCGCAUAACGUCUUCGGACCAAAGUGGGGGACCUUCGGGCCUCACACCAUCGGAUGUGCCCAGAUGGGAUUAGCUAGUAGGUGGGGUAAUGGCUCACCUAGGCGACGAUCCCUAGCUGGUCUGAGAGGAUGAGCAGCCACACUGGAACUGAGACACGGUCCAGACUCCUACGGGAGGCAGCAGUGGGGAAUAUUGCACAAUGGGCGCAAGCCUGACGCAGCCAUGCCGCGUGUAUGAAGAAGGCCUUCGGGUUGUAAAGUACUUUCAGCGGGGAGGAAGGCGAUGUGGUUAAUAACCGCAUCGAUUGACGUUACCCGCAGAAGAAGCACCGGCUAACUCCGUGCCAGCCGCCGCAGUAA
rnacentral:rRNA from 1 species